rnacentral:rRNA from 1 species
AUUGAACGCUGGCGGCAUGCCUUACACAUGCAAGUCGAACGGUAACGGGCCUUCGGGUGCCGACGAGUGGCGAACGGGUGAGUAAUACAUCGGAACGUGCCCGAUCGUGGGGGAUAACGAGGCGAAAGCUUUGCUAAUACCGCAUACGAUCUACGGAUGAAAGCAGGGGACCGCAAGGCCUUGCGCGGACGGAGCGGCCGAUGGCAGAUUAGGUAGUUGGUGGGAUAAAAGCUUACCAAGCCGACGAUCUGUAGCUGGUCUGAGAGGAUGAUCAGCCACACUGGGACUGAGACACGGCCCAGACUCCUACGGGAGGCAGCAGUGGGGAAUUUUGGACAAUGGGCGCAAGCCUGAUCCAGCCAUGCCGCGUGCAGGAUGAAGGCCCUCGGGUUGUAAACUGCUUUCGUACGGAACGAAAAGCCUUCUUUUAAUACAGGAGGGUCAUGACGGUACCGUAAGAAUAAGCACCGGCUAACUACGUG